UAGAAGUACAAAAGCUGAAUUUAUUUCUGCCAACUAAUACUGUAAAGCGCAGAUAACAAAACACAGAACUGCUCGAGAAAAAGAACAAAUUAUCAGCCUUACAGCUGAACUAUGGAGAUAUUGAUGUGUGAAAAUACAUUAUAGAAAAUUUUAACUAAUGAUCUGGUGAUGAAAGCCACCUUAAUUUAACAACAUUCUCAUAAAAUCUCUAUCACCAUAUUUUGAUGACAACACGUACCUUCCUUCUCGAGAACACCUUUUUUAUCAUCACCUUUUCUUUUACUAUGCUAUUAACAAUAAGUGGAAAGUUCAUAUAGGAUUCCCCAUCCAUUCCAUAGGGUUU